GUUCAUGAAUGCAGCUACUGGCACACUUCCAUUACUUAUUUGGAGAAACUAUUUUUCGUUUAUGAUAGCGCAUGUUCACAAUGUCAUGUACAGCAAAAACAGUUCCUUUCAAUUAUGUAGCAAAAUAGCUUAAAUUAGUAUCUUUUCUUAUCAUACUUAUCGUUAUCUGAUUAUAGUUAUGUCGUUAAACCCUUUCAAAAUUUUUAAAGAUUUUUGCAAAAUGAAG
rnacentral:misc_RNA from 1 species